rnacentral:tRNA from 5 species
GGCUGAGUAGCUCAGUUGGUGAGAGCGCACGACUCAUAAUCGUGAGGUCGCGGGUUCGAAUCCCGCCUCAGCUACCA